GCAGGCCCCUCUGUGACAGGGAUGUCUUGCCCACAGAGACCCUGCAGGAGUACCUAAAGGUGGCCAUGGCUCUCCAGUACGACGAGAAGCCACCCUACACUCUGCUGAGGAACAGCCUGGAAGCCGUGCUGCAGGAUCUGCGGGUGGCAGCCUACGACCCCGUGGACUUCCCCAUGGUGCCCUAGAACUUUCAACUCACAGUUUAAAAUAGAAAAAAAAAAAAAAGAGAGAGAAGAAAUGUGACUCCAGGCCUGCUGUAGAAUCACACAUAAGCUUCUGGAACGAUCCCUCGAAUGUACAUUCCUGCCACUUCUUUAGACGACGCUACUCCUCAGUAGUCUUGGUUAUCGUCGGGGAACCUGGCAGUUAGGCUGCAAGUAAUGUGAAUGGCCCGCCUUUCUACUGUCCCUUUCAGCCAUCGUCCCCUGCCAGCCGCGGGGGCUGUGAAUGAAGAAGACCCCCAGCUCUGGGGCGGGGGACUGAGCCAGCCCCCGCAGGGGGGACCCCUCCUGCCAUCGGCACCACUGCGCUUGGCAGGCUGUCACACUUCUACCCACCCCUUCAGCCUUUUACCCAGCAGCCACUCUCAUUCAACUCUUCAGAUGUAGACACCCCUGCGCCAGUCCUUCCGUCCGUCCUUCAGUCCGUGCUUCCAUCCAUCCGUCCAUCCGUCUGUGCCUGCAUCCAUCCACCCAUCCACCUAUCCUUCCACAUGUAGAUGCACCUGGCCUUUCCACGAGGUUAUAUCCUGGUAAGCCCAAGGUUGAGACCCCGACACAGACCUAUACCUUCCAUAAAAAUUAACUCAAAUACAAAACCGAAACUUCUGGAAGAAAACAGGACAAAGUCUAUAUGACUUUGGAUUUGGUUGAAAGAAAAGAAGGAAAGAAAGAAACUGCAUUUACUGGGCUCGUUUGCCAGUCUCCUCGGCUGGGCUGUUGGUGGAGAGCUGGUUGCAAGCCCACAAGGUCCUUGCAAUCUGUGAGGCCAACCGAGGGUUGCCUCGUCUCCAGGAAUCCUCCUAAGAAUGGGAAGUAGGAACUGAUGGGAAGACAAUGCUGUGUUGAAAUGCAAAGGCUUAUAGCAGGGUGUGGAGGGUGGGUGGGGCUAAUGUCAUUUUAGCCGGCAAAUGUAUGCUUUGUCUAAAAGCAACCUGCAAAAAUAAAAUCGCUGUCGGCUCCAUCAUGAGCGACAGCGGCCCUCCCGAUCC